GAUGAACGCUGGCGGCGUGCCUAAUACAUGCAAGUCGAGCGAACGGACGAGAAGCUUGCUUCUCUGAUGUUAGCGGCGGACGGGUGAGUAACACGUGGAUAACCUACCUAUAAGACUGGGAUAACUUCGGGAAACCGUAGCUAAUACCGGAUAAUAUUUUGAACCGCAUGGUUCAAAAGUGAAAGACGGUCUUGCUGUCACUUAUAGAUGGAUCCGCGCUGCAUUAGCUAGUUGGUAAGGUAACGGCUUACCAAGGCAACGAUGCAUAGCCGACCUGAGAGGGUGAUCGGCCACACUGGAAAUGAGACACGGUCCAGGCUACUACGGGAGGCAGCAGUAGGGAAUCUUCCGAAAUGGGCGAAAGCCUGAUGGAGCAACGCCUCGUGAGAGAUGAAGGUCUUCGGAUCGUAAAACUCUGUUAUUAGGGAAGAAAAUAUGUGUAAGUAACUGUGCACAUCUUGACGGUACCUAAGCAGAAAGCCACGGCUAACUACGUG
rnacentral:rRNA from 1 species